rnacentral:rRNA from 1 species
UAAUACUAGCGGUCCAAGUCGCAACCAUUUUUAUUGGGUCUAAAACAUCCGUAGCUUGCUUAAUAAGUUUCUUGUGAAAUCUUAUCUCUUAAAGAUAAGGCGUGCAAGAAAUACUAUUGAGCUAGAGACUGGAAGACGUAGGAAGUACGAUCAAAGUAGUGGUAAAAUACAUUAAUCUUGACCGGACUCACAAUAGCGAAGGCAUCCUACGAGGACAGUUCUGACAGUAAGGGAUGAAGGCCAGGGGCGCAAAACGGAUUAGAUACCCGUGUAGUCCUAGCAGUAAACACUGCACACUAAACAUCAGUACCUCUUCGGGAGGUAUUGGUGCUGAAGGGAAGCCGAAGAGUGUGCUACCUGGGAAGUAUAGUCGCAAGGCCG